UAACUCUGGCAAGGGAGAUACCAUGAUCAAGAAGGUGGUUUCUCAUUUUGAGGCUCAGCCAUUGCACUGAGGCUGUUGCUGGGAUUCUUUGAAUUCCCCAAUGUGGGUCAGGAUUGCAUAAUUUCUGGUAGUGGGGGACUUUAAAUCAUGUUGUUCUAAA
ensembl:snRNA U1 U1 spliceosomal RNA